rnacentral:rRNA from 1 species
UUGCAUCGAUGAAGAACGCAGCGAAAUGCGAUAAGUAAUGUGAAUUGCAGAAUUCAGUGAAUCAUCGAAUCUUUGAACGCACCUUGCGCUCCAUGGUAUUCCGUGGAGCAUGCCUGUUUGAGUGUCAUGAAUACUUCAACCCUCCUCUUUCUUAAUGAUUGAAGAGGUGUUUGGUUUCUGAGCGCUGCUGGCCUUUACGGUCUAGCUCGUUCGUAAUGCAUUAGCAUCCGCAAUCGAACUUCGGAUUGACUUGGCGUAAUAGACUAUUCGCUGAGGAAUUCUAGUCUUCGGAUUAGAGCCGGGUUGGGUUAAAGGAAGCUUCUAAUCAGAAUGUCUACAUUUUAAGAUUAGAUCUCAAAUCAAGGAGGACUACCCGCUGAACUUAANCAUAUCAAUAA